rnacentral:rRNA from 1 species
AUACCGGAUAGGAGCGCCUGUCGCAUGACGGGUGCUGGAAAGAUCUUUCGGUCAUGGAUGGACUCGCGGCCUAUCAGCUUGUUGGUGAGGUAACGGCUCACCAAGGCGACGACGGGUAGCCGGCCUGAGAGGGUGACCGGCCACACUGGGACUGAGACACGGCCCAGACUCCUACGGGAGGCAGCAGUGGGGAAUAUUGCACAAUGGGCGGAAGCCUGAUGCAGCGACGCCGCGUGAGGGAUGACGGCCUUCGGGUUGUAAACCUCUUUCAGUAGGGAAGAAGCGAAAGUGACGGUACCUGCAGAAGAAGCACCGGCUAACUACGUGCCAGCAGCCGCGGUAAUACGUAGGGUGCGAGCGUUAUCCGGAAUUAUUGGGCGUAAAGAGCUCGUAGGCGGUUUGUCGCGUCUGUCGUGAAAGUCCGGGGCUUAACCCCGGAUCUGCGGUGGGUACGGGCAGACUAGAGUGCAGUAGGGGAGACUGGAAUUCCUGGUGUAGCGGUGGAAUGCGCAGAUAUCAGGAGGAACACCGAUGGCGAAGGCAGGUCUCUGGGCUGUAACUGACGCUGAGGAGCGAAAGCAUGGGGAGCGAACAGGAUUAGAUACCCUGGUAGUCCAUG